rnacentral:rRNA from 1 species
GACGAACGCUGGCGGCGUGCUUAACACAUGCAAGUCGAACGGAAAGGCCCUGCUUUUGUGGGGUGCUCGAGUGGCGAACGGGUGAGUAACACGUGAGUAACCUGCCCUUGACUUUGGGAUAACUUCAGGAAACUGGGGCUAAUACCGGAUAGGAGCUCCUGCUGCAUGGUGGGGGUUGGAAAGUUUCGGCGGUUGGGGAUGGACUCGCGGCUUAUCAGCUUGUUGGUGAGGUAGUGGCUUACCAAGGCUUUGACGGGUAGCCGGCCUGAGAGGGUGACCGGCCACAUUGGGACUGAGAUACGGCCCAGACUCCUACGGGAGGCAGCAGUGGGGAAUAUUGCACAAUGGGCGGAAGCCUGGUGCAGCAACGCCGCGUGCGGGAUGACGGCCUUCGGGUUGUAAACCGCUUUCGCCUGUGACGAAGCGUGAGUGACGGUAAUGGGUAAAGAAGCACCGGCUAACUACGUG